UUUGCAGAUGAAAAAGUUAAAAGUAAUAAGUUAAGUUAAAAUUCAUCAGUUCAUACGUAGAUUUAAAAAGUGUAUGUUCUUGGUUGUAAGAAACUGCGUCAGAGUGAGUGGUCUUUUCUUUGGUCUCGAGAAACCGCAUCGUAGUGAGCGCUCAGUGCGUUAGCAGCAGCUAUGUAACCAGCGCGGUUGUUCUCCUCAUUACAUGCUCAGGAGAGCUGAGGCACGCACAGACAGAUAAGCAGACUGUUAAAAUCAUAUUGUCAAAGGUUACAAACGCUUUUGCCUUGGAGAAUAUUUGUCUUUUUACGGUGAUGUUGGAAAAAAGAAGACUUCAUUAAAGGACAAGAAAAGUCAA